rnacentral:rRNA from 1 species
AUUCCAGCUCCAAUAGCGUAUAUUAAUGUUGUUGCAGUUAAAAAGCUCGUAGUUGAAUUUCUGGAUUUAAUUUCUGGUCCGAGGCCUUGUGUCUUGUGUACUUUGAUUUUAUUAAAUCCAUCUUAGUAGUGAAUGUUACUGGCAUUGAGUUAUCGGUAGCAGGAACUGCUUCUUUUACUGUGAAUAAAAUAGAGUGUUCAAAGCAGGCAUUACGCCUUGAAUACUUCAGCAUGGAAUAAAAAAAUAGGACUUUGGUGCUAUUUUAUUGGUUUCUAGGACCGAAGUAAUGAUUAAUAGGGACAGUUGGGGGCAUUCAUAUUCCAUUGUCAGAGGUGAAAUCCUUGGAUUAACGGAAGAUGAACUUCUGCGAAAGCAUCUGCCAAGGAUGUUUUCAUUA